rnacentral:hammerhead_ribozyme from 1 species
AUCCAGCUGACAAGUCUCAAAUAGAACGAAAUGCUCGUCCUGGAU